GAGGCUCCGACUUGAUCAGUAGGCAACCAACAUGCCACUAAUUAGGAGGCAUGAGGCGUAGCAGAGGAUGAUUAGCUCGUGAUGAGCACAUGCUGCCUAGAGUUGUCUUGUUACCAUUAUAAAUAGAUUAGAAAUCUGGGGAGCAUCUGUAUUCUCCCCUCACAGAGGAGAAUCUGAAAUUGACAGGUUAAAAUGAGAAUGUGUCAAGGAGAGCUUUGUAAUUGACAAAGAUUAACUUUAUUUCUCUCACCUCAUCUCUCUCCUCUUCUUCUCUUGGCACCCCACCCUCAGAAUAUCCCAGCUGCCAAUGGAAGAAGCCCAGCAAUUCUCUAAUUGAACCAUAAGAUUUUGGAAGGUCAGUGUAAGAAAACCAUUCUGGCGUUCCAAGGACCAGCCAGUCCUGGACCAUGGGCAGUGACAACCCUGCAACUUAAAAAAAAAAAUUCUCAACGUGGAAGUUGGGUUUUCUGCUCAUCACAAGGAUCAGUCAUCACCAUGAAGUAUUUUAGUGCUUUUCUAGAUAUGAGGCAGUAUAAGAAUUGGGCUCACAAAACCAGCUCUUGAAAAUAUCUAACUAUCUGAAGACCUGUUCUGCCAGGUUUUCCCAGAGCACCGACAAGCUCAUUUCUGCCCUCCAUCCUGAACUCCUUUCAGGGGGUGUUGUAGGCCAGCAGCUGCAGCAGCACGAUUUAAUCCUUGUAGAGGUAAAUGGCAGGCACCCAGGGCAUGUGCCAAUUAAUAGCCGACAACACUUUGCAAAAGAGAAUAUGCAAGAAAAGACCCUGUUGUGUAAGAAGAGGCUUCUAGGAGAGGCUCCA